GUUCACCAUGCCAACCACUUGGGCUUCCAGUUCUCUACAUGUGGGCAAUUAUGGAACAGUUCUUCAACGGUAUGUGCUUAAGGACUCCAUUUUAACCCUGCAACACAUAUUAGAACUGCAUAUUUCCCCCACCAAACUUUAUAUCUCUCUGCUGGGGAUGUCUCGCCUAAUCCAGGUCCACCCUCUGCUUCCCUCAG